rnacentral:rRNA from 1 species
AUGCUACAUCCAAAUUGUUAGACAAGAAGUCCCCAUGGAACUUUACUGGAGACUUAUGUGGCUAAAAUUAAUUUAUUUCUUACAAAUAAAUGGUUUUAAAAUGUGGUGUUAACCCCUCGGAUUGACUAGGGUUAUAAAAGAUCACUCUUUUAUUUAAAGAAAGCCAACUCAAAAGUUUAUGUUUUUGGGACUUGAUAAGUGGGACAGUUUGGUUGGGGCGACCGCCUUUAAAAAAGUAACGAAGGCGGGCUUAAGAUACAUAUUUAGUGAUGUCUGACUGCCAAGGGGAGAUCCUGAGCAGACACUUACUUUUUAGGUGGGUUUAAGUGA